AAUUUGCAGAGGGCGCUUUGGCGUUGGCAGCGGUCUAAGUUCCCUGGAACAGGACGUCACAGAGGGUGAGAAUCCCGUAUGUGGUCGCUGGCCUUCGCCGUGUAAAGCCCCUUCGACGAGUCGAGUUGUUUGGGAAUGCAGCUCUAAAUGGGAGGUAAAUUUCUUCUAAAGCUAAAUACUGGCCAGAGACCGAUAGCGCACAAGUAGAGUGAUCGAAAGAUGAAAAGCACUUUGGAAAGAGAGUCAAAUAGCACGUGAAAUUGUUGAAAGGGAAGCGCUUGCAGCCAGACUUGCCUGUAGUUGCUCAUCCGGGCUUUUGCCCGGUGCACUCUUCUGCGGGCAGGCCAGCAUCAGUUUGGGCGGUUGGAUAAAGGUCUCUGUCAUGUACCUCCUUUCGGGGAGGCCUUAUAGGGGAGACGACAUGCAACCAGCCUGGACUGAGGUCCGCGCAUCUGCUAGGAUGCUGGCGUAAUGGCUGUAAGCGGCCCGUCUUGAAACACGGACCAAGGAGUCUAACAUCUAUGCGAGUGUUUGGGUGUCAAGCCCGAGCGCGUAAUGAGAGUGAACGGAGGUGGGAUCCCUUAAGGGUGCACCAUCGACCGAUCCUGAUGUCUUCGGAUGGAUUUGAGUAA
rnacentral:rRNA from 1 species